GAUGAACGCUGGCGGCGUGCCUAACACAUGCCAGUCGAACGGAAAGGCUCCUGCUUGCAGGGGUACUCGAGUGGCGAACGGGUGAGUAACACGUGGGUGAUCUGCCCUGCACUUCGGGAUAAGCCUGGGAAACUGGGUCUAAUACCGGAUAGGACGAUGGUUUGGAUGCCAUUGUGGAAAGUUUUUUCGGUGUGGGAUGAGCUCGCGGCCUAUCAGCUUGUUGGUGGGGUAAUGGCCUACCAAGGCGUCGACGGGUAGCCGGCCUGAGAGGGUGUACGGCCACAUUGGGACUGAGAUACGGCCCAGACUCCUACGGGAGGCAGCAGUGGGGAAUAUUGCACAAUGGGCGCAAGCCUGAUGCAGCGACGCCGCGUGGGGGAUGACGGCCUUCGGGUUGUAAACUCCUUUCGCUAGGGACGAAGCGCAAGUGACGGUACCUGGAGAAGAAGCACCGGCUAACUACGUG
rnacentral:rRNA from 1 species